UUGAAAGGGAAACGAUUGAAGUCAGUCGUACCUGUGGGUAAUCAGCCUUUUGGGUGUGAUUUUGUGGAGUGUGAGGAGUUAAACGCCUUCAUGCCUGCAUAUUCGUGCACUUUGGGUGUAUUUACCCGUGUGGUAAGUUAACAUCAAUUUCGGUGGUCAUAAAAUGGCUGGAGGAAUGUAGCUUUGAUCUUGUAUUGAAGUGUUAUAGCCUUCGGCAGAUGUGAUGAUCGGGAUUGAGGAUUGCAACGGAUACCCUUCGGGGCUACCUGUCUGAUCUCUGAUCGUUGCUCUGGUGCCGAAAGCUUGCUUACGGUUAUCAAAGUCGAUGGUCAAUAGGUUAGAACGGGUUAAAUUCGUUAAGGAUGUUGACGUA
rnacentral:rRNA from 1 species